rnacentral:rRNA from 1 species
UACAGAGGGGGCAAGCGUUGUUCGGAAUCAUUGGGCGUAAAGAGCGUGUAGGCGGUCCGGUAAGUCCGCUGUGAAAGUCGGGGGCUCAACCCUCGAAUGCCGGUGGAUACUGUCGGGCUAGAGUGCGGAAGAGGCGAGUGGAAUUCCUGGUGUAGCGGUGAAAUGCGUAGAUAUCAGGAGGAACACCUGCGGUGUAGACGGCUUACUGGACGGUAACUGACGCUGAGGCACGAAAGCGUGGGUAGCAAACAGG